rnacentral:lncRNA from 10 species
CGUCUUUCCAUCAAGGCUGGCAGCCGCUUCCCACCCCCAGUCCCGCCAGCCCACCAAAGUCCACUGACAGGAGUUGUAGAGAAGGCAAGCCGGGCAAUUCCAAAGGUGAAAACGCAGCCAACUGGCUCACGGCAAAGAGUGGUCGGAAGAAGCGCUGCCCCUACACGAAGCACCAGACACUGGAGCUGGAGAAGGAGUUUCUGUUCAAUAUGUACCUUACUCGAGAGCGGCGCCUAGAGAUUAGCCGCAGCGUCCACCUCACGGACAGACAAGUGAAAAUCUGGUUUCAGAACCGCAGGAUGAAACUGAAGAAAAUGAAUCGAGAAAACCGGAUCCGGGAGCUCACAGCCAACUUUAAUUUUUCCUGAUGAAUCUCCAGGCGACGCGGUUUUUUCACUUCCCGAGCGCUGGUCCCCUCCCUCUGUCUUCAGGCUCUGCCCAGGAACUCGCACCUGUGCUGGAGCCCUGUUCCUCCCUCCCACACUCGCCAUCUCCUGGGCCGUUACAUCUGUGCAGGGCUGGUUUGUUCUGACUUUUUGUUUCUUUGUGUUUGCUUGGUGCUGGUUUAUUUGUUGUUUUCUGGGGGAAAAAGCCAUAUCAUGCUAAAAUUCUAUAGAGAUAGAUAUUGUCCUAAGUGUCAAGUCCUGACUGGGCUGGGUUUGCUGUCUUGGGGUCCCACUGCUCGAAAUGGCCCCUGUCUUCGGCCGAGCUGGUUUCCUGCCCAGCCUGGGGCAAACCUAGCCGGAAGGCCGAGGUCCCAUUGUUGGCGCUGAGGUGUCUGGCCUGAGGUCAAUGGUGCAAAGG